UGCCUCCAAAGGUAGUAGCAUUGGCUAAGAUCUCUGAGCCGAAUGGUGCAAAAUCCAACCCAUUUUCAGAGCCCUAUUGGGUUCAGCCCAUUUCUAGCACAGAGGGGAUCCAUUAAGCUGCUUAUUUACGCAACGAAUUUAAAUUUUUAACCACCGAAUAACUUCUAGACAGUUACGAAACCCAUUUUAUAAGGACACGUGGG
rnacentral:misc_RNA from 1 species